CUGAGGGUGGCUUGUGAGCUGAAGCUUCUCUCCAAACACAAGGACAGAGGCGUCUGUCACAUAACCCAUGAAGAACCAUCACCUGAAAACUGUGCAUCACCUCGUGAGAAUCUCAGUCAGGGAUCCUUCAGUGUGUGUCACAUGGACAAAAAGAAAGGGGGAAACUCCUCCUGCAUGAACACGGCCGCAGGAUUGUCUUAAAGGUGCCGAGUUCCCACAAUCCAUGUGCAGCACACACGGUCCUCUUCCCACCCAGACCAUCCCAGCAGGAAGUCCUGCUGGGCCAGCUCAGCCCCAUGGGUGCACCUGGCUGUGGACUUGCACUAACACCGUGAGUACCGUCAAGCUAAAUGAUAAGUCA
rnacentral:lncRNA from 1 species